rnacentral:rRNA from 1 species
AAGUAAUACCGAUGCGGGACCCUACGGGUGCCGCGUUCGGAAUGAGUACGAUUCGAACCACCUAACGAGGAACGAUCGGAGGGCAAGUCUGGUGCCAGCAGCCGCGGUAAUUCCAGCUCCAAUAGCGUACGUUAAAGUUGCUGCAGUUAAAAAGCUCGUAGUUGAACGUUCGGGUUCCGCGGGACGGGGCCGCCCCGCGAGGGACGGCGCCGCCCCGGGGCUCGUGAUAUCUCAUCUCGCCGCCCGUCGCGAGGCGGACGGAGGGAUGGAUGAGGUUACCUGGAAAAAAUCGGGGCGAUCUAGGCGGGCGAACCUCGCCAACGAACGAUCGGACAUGGGAUAACGGAAGAGGGCGUCGGCUCGACUUCGUCGGUUCCUCGGGGCCGAGGCACGUACGGUGAAUAGGGGACGGUCGGGGCCGCCCGUACCGGGUCGUGAGAGGUGAAAUUCUAGGAUCGACCCGAGACGAACCGCCGCGAAAGCAUUCGGCAAGGACGCUUUC